rnacentral:rRNA from 1 species
GACGAACGCUGGCGGCGUGCUUAACACAUGCAAGUCGAACGGAAAGGCCCUGCUUUUGUGGGGUGCUCGAGUGGCGAACGGGUGAGUAACACGUGAGUAACCUGCCCUUGACUUUGGGAUAACUUCAGGAAACUGGGGCUAAUACCGGAUAGGAGCUCCUGCUGCAUGGUGGGGGUUGGAAAGUUUCGGCGGUUGGGGAUGGACUCGCGGCUUAUCAGCUUGUUGGUUGGGUAGUGGCUUGCCAAGGCUUUGACGGGUAGCCGGCCUGAGAGGGUGACCGGCCACAUUGGGACUGCGAUACGGCCCAGACUCCUACGGGAGGCAGCAGUGGGGAAUAUUGCACAAUGGGCGGAAGCCUGAUGCAGCAACGCCGCGUGCGGGAUGACGGCCUUCGGGUUGUAAACCGCUUUCGCCUGUGACGAAGCGUGAGUGACGGUAAUGGGUAAAGAAGCACCGGCUAACUACGUG